AUCUAGCCCUGAUAGAAGCGGCAUCCUUUUUUGAGGUACGAGAAAAAGAUAUAGCGGAUAGCAGGACAUAGC
rnacentral:sRNA from 1 species